GAUCUGGUGAGCAGGUGCUGCUGUUUGUGGGAGGAAGGGGCCAGCUGCCCAUGGGAUAGCAGCAACUGUGUGGCCUCCCCAGGCUGGUGGCCAGGGGGCUGCCUUCCCCAUCAGGGGUGGGACCCACUCAGAGUACUUUUGCUUUUGGAACUCAGCCAGACAUCUGUUUUGGGUGAGAGGAUGCAUGCUCUUCCUUCCCUCCCAGGAUCCCCCUGUUUCAGGCUCUCUGCAGCAGCCCUGACUUGAAUUGGCUGUGUGAUCUGAGGCUGUUCACUUAACCUCUCUGGUUAUCCAUAUCCUCAUCCAUAGAAUGGAGAUAAUCAUUCUCACCACCGAGGGGUGCUGUGAGGAUCGGGCAAGGCCACAAGGUGGACAAAUGCAUCCACGAACGAGGAGCUGGCACCUC
rnacentral:lncRNA from 1 species